GCAACUUCGUCACCUUCGUUCUUCCUCCUCCGGCCACCUUUUGCUUCGAUUCCAAAGGGAAUCCUGCUCUCCUCAGUCCCCUCUACACGUCUGUGCUGGUGAUUAGUUGUGGGAAGCACCGUAGACGACGCUACAAGGCCGGAAAGUUGGUGGCGGCGAUGCAAAAAAAUACCCAGAUUUGAGAUCAUGUUUCCGGCCACCAUAGCAGGUGAUUCAUGGGGGCUUUUGAAGACCAGAGGCCGUAGAUGCUUACCUCCAAGCGGCUUGCAACGAUUUCACCUGUGGAGCUCGAGUUUUGAAGAUUGGGAUUUUAGGGUUCUUCGGUUUCAAACCUUUCGAGGUGAUUGACGGUCUUUCUUGGUGAGCGGUUUUGGUGUGUUUUGUGAAAUUGAAGACGCAGCGGGAUUAGAGCGGGUAAUCCUGCAGGUUAGGAGAAUCAGGGCGGUGAUCGUGCGGGUUAGAGUAAUUGUUAUAGUUUUACAGUGAUUGUAAUAGUGAGGUGAGUUAAGCUCAUUUGAGCCUUACAAUUUGAUUUGGUGAGAGUGAGCUGUAAUAAUUAACUUGAGAAAUUGGUUUAUUGUAUUUUUGAGAGGUGUGAAGUGUGGUUGUUUUGAGAAAAAAAUUUAGGACUUUUAUUUGUAAUAGUUAUUAUUCAUGUUUCGGAUUUGAAUUGUUUAUUCAAAAUUCGGGGC